UCGCCUCACUAGCUCCAUCUGAAUCAUUUUUUUCUGCUCCUGCUGAAACAGCUAUGCCUCAGUCCCUUCUUAUUUCCUGCUUGGAUUCAUGCCACAGACUUCCAACUAGACUAUUUGCUAGUCAACUCACUAUUUUGGUUAUUACAGUGACAACUAAAAAUUCAAGAUAAGAGAAUACAGAUGGUCUUGAUGGUGUCUUCUUUACUUUCAGCUAAGGAAAAAAUGGAACUGUACUUCUUACAAACCUUGCAAAUUCCAAACUGGACCUAAUAAGAAUGACUUCUGUUCAUAUUUUAUAGGAAGAAUCACAUGCUGUGGACAUAGCUUGGAAGGCUGCUAAGAAAUGUACCCUGCUGGACAGUAUCUCUGGGAAUCGUCACUAAGGCAUCUCCCAAGUGCCGAAAAGCCCGCAGAUUAAGUGUAUUAAAGUAUCAUUGCCAAUUAGCUCUGCUGCUGCUAAGAAGUGACAGCAUGUACCACACAAGGAGACAGCUUUGAGGCUGCGGAAGUACCUGUCCUACUUUCCACUGAUGCAACCAUCAGCAGAGAGAAAGGAAAAGCCUGCACUCUGAAGAGGAAAUGGCGGGAUGUCCAGGCAGAAGGACAAGGAUGAACUGCAAAGCGUCCACGGGACUGUGGAGCUGCCACUUGCUGGCAUCUUUCCUCCAUGUCACCAUGAAUACCACUGAACACAUUCAACAGCAGCACAGCAUAAAAGGCAUAAUUAUGCUCGAGUUUAAGGCUGGAUCAUGGCAACAGGAAUUCUGUUUUCUUUGUCUUUUGAAGUGCAAUAUGGCUCGUCCUGUACAACACUGAAAUUAAAAAUAACACCUCUUCUCCUUCCAACCCCUCUGUGAGCAAAAGUAACAAAAUAAAAACCCAUCAAAAACUAGACUGUGACAUUUCUACCUAAAAAAUACUGGAACCUAAAAUCUCCUAUCAAGUCUUGGGAUGAAACAAAUCAUAAAAUGAACGACUUUACAGUUAUGAUGAAAACCCUGCUUCCUUAAUGACUCUAACUACAUAAUAAAUUCUGAAGUAAAAAUUCAAAUUCUUCAUACACGCGGUCUAUUAUUUCCUCCUAUUCAUUCCUAGCUAGGGGAAUCCACUGAAACUGUACGACCUUUGUAUCUUAGCUUUCUCCCCUGGACACUCUUAGGAAUUAUAAUGUGCUCUUCUUUCAAAAAUGUGAAAGGCAUUUAGUUUUAACCUAUAAGGAGCACUUCAUAAAAUUUUAUUCUCUAGUUGCUAUUUUCCUGCAAUAAUAACAUUGUCUAUUUUUGUCAUUAGUAGCUUCCUCCAUUUCUACACACAUGCACACACAGAUAUACACUCAAUUUCCUUUUUUUAUUCUUUUUUUCUAGAUUUCACUGACAACUGAGAAGAAUAAAAGAUGCGACUGGCUUGUGGUCAUUUCUUAAACCUGCCUGCUCAACGAUUUUACUCCGCCGUGUUUUUCUCCCUGUUUUGUUCUUUCUCUCGGGUGUAUUUAUAGAAACUCUUUUUAUUUCCUCUGAGUCCCUGAGCUACAUUAUUUCAUUUUGCUUUCUUGCCUCUCUUAUGGUGUGCCUGCGUUUCUUGAUGGCUAGCUUUAUCUAUUCCUUUCAAUCUCCCCUUUUCCAUUUCCUAUAAAAUUCUAUUUUGUAUUUCAGCACUUAGAGAAACCCACCCUCACCCACAGAUAUUUUUAAUCUUCUCUGUAUUUUUAACUUGCAUUGGAAUAGCUGUUAAGCUUCCCAUGCUGAGUUCAUCUUAAAAUUCAUUUCUCCCCCUUUUUAAACCUGCCCCUAGCAAUCUGUUGCUGACUUCAUUUCAAGUGAUUAUUUCCCUCACCUUCCUAAUAACUCUUCAAGUUUACACACUGGAUAUUGUGUCAGGGAUGUUAAGCAGGUAUUUAACAACUGUAAGAGAUGUAGUGAUCUGUAAUGACCUGAAAACAAAACAGGAUGUUUUACACACAACUCUGUGUUGUCCAAUAAAAAUGUGAAUGAGUGACA